UACGUAGGUGGCAAGCGUUGUCCGGAUUGACUGGGCGUAAAGCGCACGCAGGCGGACGCGCGCGUGGGGUGUGAAAUCUGGCCGCUUAACGGCCAGGCGCCAUCCCAUACGGCGGAGCUGGAGUGAUGCAGAGGUCGAUGGAAUUGCCGGUGUAGUGGUGAAAUGCGUAGAGAUCGGCAGGAACACCCAGGGGGAAACCAGUCGACUGGGCAUCUACUGACGCUGAGGUGCGAGAGCGUGGGGAGCGAACCGG
rnacentral:rRNA from 1 species